AUGAGUUAAGUAUAAACCCCUUAACAAGUAUCAAUUGGAGGGCAAGUCUGGUGCCAGCAGCCGCGGUAAUUCCAGCUCCAAUAGCGUAUAUUAAAGUUGUUGCAGUUAAAAAGCUCGUAGUUGGAUUUCUGUUAAUACUUGCAUGUGCUAUCUUCGAUACGCGUGUAAUAUUAGCAUCAUCCGCGUCACCUUCGGUGUGCGGAACUUUACUUUGAGAAAAUUAGAGUGCUUAAAGCAGGCUUUUGCCUUGAAUACUCCAGCAUGGAAUAAUAUGAAGGAUUUUUAUCUUUCUUAUUGGUUCUAAGAUAAAAAUAAUGGUUAAUAGGGACAGUUGGGGGCAUUUGUAUUUAACAGUCAGAGGUGAAAUUCUUAGAUUUGUUAAAGACAAACUAGUGCGAAAGCAUUUGCCAAGGAUGUUCUCAUUAAUCAAGAACGAAAGUUAGGGGAUCGAAGACGAUCAGAUACCGUCGUAGU
rnacentral:rRNA from 1 species